GAGCGAAUCAAUUGGGAGCUUGCUCCCUUUUGGUUAGCGGCGGACGGGUGAGUAACACGUGGGCAACCUGCCUGUAAGACUGGGAUAACUUCGGGAAACCGGAGCUAAUACCGGAUAAUCUUUUUCAACUCAUGUUGGAAUACUGAAAGUCGGUUUCGGCUGACACUUACAGAUGGGCCCGCGGCGCAUUAGCUAGUUGGUGAGGUAACGGCUCACCAAGGCGACGAUGCGUAGCCGACCUGAGAGGGUGAUCGGCCACACUGGGACUGAGACACGGCCCAGACUCCUACGGGAGGCAGCAGUAGGGAAUCUUCCACAAUGGACGAAAGUCUGAUGGAGCAACGCCGCGUGAGCGAUGAAGGCCUUCGGGUCGUAAAACUCUGUUGUUAGGGAAGAACAAGUACCGUUCGAAUAGGGCGGUACCUUGACGGUACCUAACCAGAAAGCCACGGCUAACUACGUGCCAGCAGCCGCGGUAAU
rnacentral:rRNA from 1 species